rnacentral:rRNA from 1 species
AUGUUCUUGUGCCGGACGCCGCCGAGGAUGCCGGCCUCCGACUCGAACUCGCGCUCCAGCUUCUCGUCCACCUUCCCGGCGCUCCGUAUUUGCUUCACGGCCACGGCGCCGGCGCUGCCGUUGUACCGGUUAGUGUACGCGGCGCGGUACACGCGCCCCGACCCGCCGCUGCCGACGAGAUUCUCCUCGGUCAGCGCCCGGAGUAUGGCUGCCUCCCCGAAGCCCAAAUCGGUCUGGAAAGGCGUGAUCUUCCAGCCACCGUCCCGUGCCGCGCGCUUCCUUUUCCUGAUGUCGCGGACGAUGAAGAAGGCGAAGACCACGAUGAGGACAAGGAGCGCGCCGGCAGCGGCCAGGAGGCCAGUGCGGAGCGCCGGCGAGACGCCACCGGAGGAGGAGGCAGCUUGUGAUCCCGCAGCGCAGGAGCGCACGCCGGUGAGAUAG